rnacentral:lncRNA from 1 species
GGGAGCCCGCGCUCCAAAGCCCGGUGGGGGGAGGGGCGCUCACGCAACCGCCACUGUCUGGAGCGGGCUCGCCUCUGCGGCGGCACUCACCGCCCGGGCUUUACUGAAGCGGAGUCUAGCAUGUGCGGCUGCUCCACAGCGGUGUGGGUGGCGGCGGCUCCUCUGCAGCAGCCUCGGCAGUAGGGGUCACGGUGGCCAAGCCCACCGUGGAGCUCAUCUGAGAGUUGUAAGGUACGGGACUGCCUCGGUCUUUGGGACGCCCCGUCUGGUAGCAUCCCAGAUCCAGCACGUUCCUUCCGGCCCUGCACCCCGGCCCGGUGCCUCACACCCCGCUACCCCAUGCAUCCAGACUCUAAGGCAGCCCCUGCAUCUCAGUCCUGACAUCGCUGUCCCUGGAGCAUCCUCCGCUGGAGCUGGAGCUUGACAGCUUACAGAGUCAAGUCCCUGGGAACUUCAGGAAGCAGCCCACCAUGUUUCAACCACUUACUAUGUGCCAUUUCCUGUGUUCAGAGCCUUACACAGGUUAUCUCUAGACCUGACAACAACCCAAGCAAGGCAAGGACUAUUCUCUCGGUCUGCAGACGCUGGCUCAGAUAGCUGGAGCAACUUCCCAAGGUCCCACAGCCAGUAAGGAAAGACCCAGACCUCCCAAGCUCCCUUCCUUUAUUGGCUGCCUGUGGACUACCAGGGCUUCAGUCCUUACAAUGUCAGUAAAACAGCCUUGCUGGGCCUCAACAAGACCUUGGCCAUAGAGCUGGCCCCAAGGAACAUUAGGGUGAACUGCCUAGCACCUGGACUUAUCAAGACUAGCUUCAGCAGGAUGCUCUGGAUGGACAAGGAAAAAGAGGAAAGCAUGAAAGAAACCCUGCGGAUAAGAAGGUUAGGCGAGCCAGAGGAUUCUCUUGGCAUCGUGUCUUUCCUGUGCUCUGAAGAUGCCAGCUACCUCACUGGGGAAACAGUGAUGGUGGGUGGAGGAACCCCGUCCCGCCUCUGAGGACCCGGAGACAGCCCACAGGCCAGAGUUGGGCUCUAGCUCCUGGUGCUGUUCCUGCAUUCACCCACUGGCCUUUCCCACCUCUGCUCACCUUACUGUUCACCUCAUCAAAUCAGUUCUGCCCUGUGAAAAGAUCCAGCCUUCCCUGCCGUCAAGGUGGUGUCUUACUCGGGAUUCCUGCUGUUGUUGUGGCCUUGGGUAAAGGCCUCCCCUGAGAACACAGGACAGGCCUGCUGACAAGGCUGAGUCUACCUUGGCAAAGACCAAGA